rnacentral:rRNA from 1 species
AUUGAACGCUGGCGGCAGGCCUAACACAUGCAAGUCGAGCGGAUGAAGGGAGCUUGCUCCUGGAUUCAGCGGCGGACGGGUGAGUAAUGCCUAUGAAUCUGCCUGGUAGUGGGGGAUAACGUCCGGAAACGGGCGCUAAUACCGCAUACGUCCUGAGGGAGAAAGUGGGGGAUCUUCGGACCUCACGCUAUCAGAUGAGCCUAGGUCGGAUUAGCUAGUUGGUGGGGUAAAGGCCUACCAAGGCGACGAUCCGUAACUGGUCUGAGAGGAUGAUCAGUCACACUGGAACUGAGACACGGUCCAGACUCCUACGGGAGGCAGCAGUGGGGAAUAUUGGACAAUGGGCGAAAGCCUGAUCCAGCCAUGCCGCGUGUGUGAAGAAGGUCUUCGGAUUGUAAAGCACUUUAAGUUGGGAGGAAGGGCAGUAAGUUAAUACCUUGCUGUUUUGACGGUACCACCAGAAUAAGCACCGGCUAACUUCGUG